CCUUACUGUACAGGCAGCCGCUGCGGUCACGUGACCGCUCCCGCGCGGCCGUCACUACUGUACGCAGCCGGACGCGCGAACGUGCGCGCGCGCCCCCGCCUCCCGCGCGGGGCUGCAAGACGAACGAGCGGACGGUCCGCUGCGUCCCGUCACUCCCCCGCCCUUCCGCUCUCUGCCUAUCCUUUGGAGCAUGCGCGGGAGGGAGGUCCGACGCUAAAGUGCGUCGAGCGUCCAGUGCUCACGCCUACAGCGAAAAUCUGCCUGCGGAAGCGGAACUUGAUCCGUCCCGGAAGGCUUAUUGAACGGAUUCUGACCGCGUGCCGGGCGCCUUGGUGGCUGUAGAGGCUUGGAAGAGCCGUGCUUUUCCCCCAAGCGGCGACUUUCCUAGCUAUCGCUUUCAAUAAGCCUCGUGCUUGUGUUUUUUCAUUAGUGCAUGUUCAGGUUUACAAAGGUUAUCUUUGUGACGAUUUGCAACAAUUUUUGUCUGCUCAUUUAACCCGUUUGGUUAGAUGAGGCAAGUUGAGUUCGACCUGCCAAGCUCACCAUUCUAGGCUGUGGGGAAACCAAGAAUCAAGGCGCCAGCUCAAGAGCCGUUUUUCCAUCUCCAGGAAUUCCUUUAAAACUUAAGAUGAUCCCCUCAGCCCUUUCUUAAAGGCCACCAGUAACUGCGUUCACACUUUUUCAAGUGAAUAGUCUCAUCAAAGACCCAAAUGGUGUCUUUUCUUUCUUGGGGACCUUAGUCACUUGCACAGUGCCUAUAAAUAUCAGGCACCCAGUAAAUAUUUGCUGAAUGAGUCAGCUGUCUGUAGUCAGAAAUUAUCUGUAGGGUCCAAACAGCCUCCUGGAAAAUCCAGAAUGUGGCAUCUUCCAUCGCAUGUUUUUAUACUUUGCAAGUAAUCUCUGCACCCAACGUGCUGCUAGAACAUAUAACACCAAGAUCAAGAGACACGUGCUCCACCCACUGAGCCAGCCAGGCACUCCAGACAAGUCACCAUGUUGGCAGGGGUGAUUGAUCCCAAUCAUCAAGAGGAAGUUGGAAUUCUGUUACACAAUGGAAGAUGGAAGGACGAUGUUCGGCACCCAGGUGGUCAAAGGCAAAGAGACGCAGGAAGCAGGAAGGAAGGCAGAGGAACUGGAGGCCAGCCAGAAACAAGCUGGGAAUAGCCAGACUGCACUGCUCCUUAGUUACCAUGGGCUUUGUCCAGCCAGAUGUCCUAGCAUCUCCUUGGUUUUCUGCCUGAGGAAUCUGACUAUUCAUUCUGAAGUUAUCUUAAAUGCUGUCCACAUUCACAAAUACUCCUCAGAGGCCAAAUUCAUUUUUAAAUGUUCAUCCUAGCAAGAGAUUUUUUUUUACAUAGAUGGGGAUACAGCCUGGACCUAAAUAGAUUUAGGUUCAAGUCUCAUCAUUGUAAUUUACUACCUAAGUGAACUUAAGCAAUUGACUAGGAUUCUCUAAUCUUCAGCUUCCUCAUCUGCCCCAAAAUCGAGAUAAUUUACUCAAUAAAUAUUCACGUUUGAGUCCCUAUUAUGUGACAUGCUCAGAUUUGGAUGUUGGGAAUACAGAAGAAAACCACACAGGGUGGCUUCAUUCAAGUGAAGACGGAAGAGAAAUAAAUAGACAAGACAGUAUCGGAUGUUGAUAAAUGUUCGGAAGACAAUCCACCAAGUUGAUGUGCAAGAAGUGAUGGAGUCGCAGCAUCUUUGGAGGAGGAAGAAUUUGACAUUGGAGCCGAGACUGAAGACAAAAAGACAAGAAGAAACUCGCCUCGUGAAGAUUUGGGUGUGGAGCAUUCCAAUGAGAGGGAAAGAGAAUUUCAAAGGCCCUGAGGCGGAAGAAAGCGCUUGGUGUGUCCUUGGAAUAUAAAGAAGAUAUACAAUGGAGUGAGGUGGAGAGGGGCUGGGGAGAGGUGGGAGAGGUAGGCAGGACUGAGGAAGUGGAGGAGGAUGUAAGAGCUUUGAGAAGAGCCGGGGAAUGUGUGAAAUACUUGUUUGGGAGAAUGGGGGAGAGAACAUACUGGAGAAGUGUAGUAGGGUUGCUUGGCAGCAUUGAGACUCCUUUUGAGAUGCGUGGUCAUGAAUUUCAACUAGAACUAGUUGGCAUAGUGGAUGUUGCGCUGAGAAUUAGAUGAAGUGAAUGGAAGUUUUUGACACAUGGUAGAUGCUCAGAAAUGUUCACUAGCUAUUAUAAGGGAGAAAAAUCUUAAGAUGAAGAAAACUAAACCAACUCAUCUAUUUUUGCCACGAUCUGUAAUUUAUCAGAGAGGUAAACGAUAUGCUAUGUAUUCUGAGCUUUGGUUUAAGACUAAGUUUUCCACAAAAAGGGAGUUUUUUAGCAUCUGGAUGUUUUAAACCUGAACGUUUUUGCACACCCAGCACAAAAUGCCGCGAUUUUUUGCUCUUGUGGUCUUAAUAAACUGGAAGUAAAUUUCUCCUGUCA